rnacentral:lncRNA from 1 species
UACGUUCUUUGUUAAAGAUGCACACACACACAAAAAGAUCCCAUUGAGCCAAUAUAGGCAGCAGUGAUUCCAUUAGUGAUCGUGAAAGUCUUGCUACGCUAUAAUUCUCUCUCUUGUCUCCCUCACAGCAGCUAUGGAAGUUUUCAAAAUGAGAAGUUCAAACCACAUAGUGCUUCUACCUAGGAGGCUUCUGUGCUUCCUGGCUACUAAAGACAUUUGCACUUGAAUUAAAAAAAAUCCAAAAGGAUACUUUUCCAAAAGUGAAGAGAGUUUCUGUGGAUCACACCCAAGGAAGUCACUGACAUAGACAGUUUAUUUUCUAUAAACUGCUCUGUGAACUGUGGAUGAAAAAUCCUUGGUUACAUCACCACUUUACAGUCAAUGACCAUGCUGGAAUAUCACAUUAUUCUCCUCUUUCCUGAGCAUCCCACCCUGCCUUCAUGGAACCAGUCUUUUUGGAUGUCAAAUGUUUUCACUUCAUAAAGGAUCACUUAAUGCCACAUCCUCUGACUUCUGAGAGGAAAAAAAGGAAAGCUAGAAGGAAAGCCAGAAGAGAUGCUUGAUCUUCUCCCUCUCCAAAUGCACCCUGGG